rnacentral:rRNA from 1 species
UACAGAGGGUGCGAGCGUUAAUCGGAAUUACUGGGCGUAAAGCGUGCGUAGACGGUAGCGUAAGUCAGAUGUGAAAGCCCCGGGCUCAACCUGGGAAUGGCAUUUGAGACUGCUCUGCUUGGGUGCGGAAGAGGGAAGCGGAAUUUCCGGUGUAGCGGUGAAAUGCGUAGAUAUCGGAAGGAACACCAGUGGCGAAAGCGGCUUCCUGGUCCAGCACCGACGUUCAGGCACGAAAGCGUGGGGAGCAAACAGG